AUCUAUGGCAUUAAUAAAUAAAAGAAAGAAAUCAAUAAUUAAACACUGAAUUAUUAUAUCCCUAUAUAGCACAGGAGCUUGCAGUUAUAUUGUAUCCUUAUAAUGCAGUAUUAGAAACACUGUCAUUAUCAUACAUUACAAAAUAUUAUACGAAAGAGUUAAAAAGUGAAGGCAAUUUUUAAAUUAUGCGGUAAUCGGAACAGAGACGUUGGCGGAACAUAUAUAGUUUUCUAUUUACACCAAAACAGAUAAUUCUCACUUGUGACUUAUAAUUCAGUUGAAUGCACGUUUUUUUCAGUCUCACAAAUAAAAUUGAAUUUUUUACUUAUAAUCUGAGCAAUCUGAAAAUCAUACCCUUUACUAACUCUUAUUAGCUUAUAUUAAAGUUUUGUAUUGCGAUAAUAUUUGCUGGGUUCCAAAAUUCACUGCCAGUACUGAAAAUGAAAACCUAUAGUUCACGUUAUGUAUACUAGAUUUUUAUUAUUAGCAGUAAAUUUUGGAAGGCUGCAUUUGUCAUCAAAAUAAGCGUGAUCAUUUCCACAUUUCGUUAAUCCUAGAAUAUCAUACUGGAAUAGUUUUAUUGUUUAACACGAAUUUGAUUUUAUCUCCUAAGUUAGCAGAUGAAGAGAUCGACUCGGGGCAAUAAUGCAAUUUAAAGUCUUAAGAAUCGAGAGAGACUAUCCAAUAUCGGAACGUCAACAUGCGAGUAAUACAGACAUAAAGAGUAAAUGGGACGGACACUAGCUAUAGAAAGAGAGACACUACGGUUGCAUUUGUGCGAGCUGCAAUGUCUCUGUGUGUAAAAACCACAGGACAAAACGAUGUGGCGAAUACUAUUUGGAGUCAUAAAAAUAUUUUAAUAAUUUUUUACUUUAAUAAUGUAUCCUAUAAUUAAAAAAUAAACAUUUUUUACAAUUUUAUAGCAAAUUGAAAAAAAGAUUGAUUGUGUCUUUAUUCAUUUUUUCUUUUAAGCUAUUGUUUUUUAUAACAUUUAUUUGUCAAAAUAAUUAUACUUUUUAAAUAAUACCCAAAAUCCAUUUUAUCCCGGUUCUAUAUCUAUCUUUCCAAAAACUGAUUUUUUAAAUUCGUUAAAAAUUAGCGAAAAUACAAUAAUUUAAAAGAACUCUCUUUUGCGAUUUUUUUUAAACUUUAUUUUGUUUAAAUAAUUUUUAACGUGUUUAAUGUUAAUUAUCCUUUUGCUGUCAUAUUUUUUCCUGAACUUAAAUGUCAUACAGGGUGGAUUCAUUCAUCCAGCUUUAAUCGCUGUAAGUUUUAAAACAAUGAAAAUAUUUUUAUAAAAAAACCAUGAACAAACUUUAAUUUUUUUUUAAAUAUAAUGAUAAAAUUCCGAUGUCAAAAUUUUUAAUUUAUUAUUAUACUUUAAAAAAUUCUGAAAAGUUGAAACUGGGGGAAGGGUGGCGGUUUUAAAAAAUCAUGAUUUUUGAAUUCUUAAUACUUUGAGCUCAAAAUCUAACUGUUUAUUGUUAUAUUUCAAGAAAAAAAUAGGUUGGAAGUCGGCAUUUCAAACGUGUUUAUUUUGGGAUAUAAAAAUGAUCCAUUUUUACGAAAAUCACGAUUUUUGGUAUAAAACUCAGAUUUAUUAUAACUUUAUGGCACAAAACUUCUAACACACCACCACCAAAAUUACUUUUUUUUCAUUUUUAACCAAACUUUUCCGGAUCGGCCACCAUCGCAAGUUAUAGGCCAUGGCGCGCUGAACAUAAACAUGUAAUUAAAACUUAAAAUAUUUUAAAAAAUUAAAAACAAAAA
rnacentral:lncRNA from 1 species